UGCUGGUGUGAGGGCCCGGCUGCUGCCGGCGUGCUGCCUGCUGGUGGGCGAAAGGGAAGUUUCAGUCUGAGGGUGUUACACCUGUUACGCUGUGUGAGCAGCGGCGGCUCCCUGGUGCGGUUACUGCUGGGCUGACUGACAUCGUCCCUCCCUGUGCAUCUCUACAGUGUCUGACCCGAGUUCAUAUUGUAACACAGAAGGCCACCUUGCCAUCGGACUCACUUCUUCCCUCACAACAAGGUCGCUCUUGGAGGCUAGACUAGUGUUUUGUAGCUUUCAACACCGUCAGUGAGGGGAUCGUCUGAGUGGAGCUGGGCUAUGCCCACUGAUGCCCCCUGGUCUCCCAGUUCACCAUUUUCCAGCCCAGUGGGUGCAUGCCUUGUGCUGCUUGUCAUUGGCAGCUCACAAAGAGCACUUGUCAUUGCUACUGGCAGUGUCAUAUUGCCUUUGGUCUCCAUUAAUUGACUUUUAUCAUUACUCAAAAUGAAGGGGACUAUUAAUUAUUACAGCAGGCAGCCAUUCCUCCACAGCAACCUCAGCAAAGUCAGUGCGAGGAGCUGGCACCCAGCACAGCCCUCAGCACGCUGAGGUUGGGUCUGCAGGCCUGCCUGGGCUGUAGGGAGCAGCCCUGUUCCUGCUGAGCACCCCUCAGCUCUGCCUGUCUUCUGCAGGGAGCAGGAGGGCAGGAUUUCCAUCAUCACGUCUGUGUGCCACUUUACUACAGCUUUGAAUGGCGCUUUACAAAAUAGGUAAUGAUGUCUCAUUGCUCUGGAGAGUUCCCAAACUAAAUUAAGGAGAGAAGAAUGGGAAGAGACGACCAUCCAAUGAGGUGCAGGUGCUGGGGAGUGGGAUAAGGAGGGGGAGGGCAAUGUGAUUAUGUCCUUUCAAAGUGAAUGCCUCAGGGCAGCCACUUUUGGGGACAGUGUAAAAGGGAGAUGGAGAAAGGCGUGACUCAUAGAGACAGCAUCUGCGCAGGGUUUAGGUCUGCUAUUGAAAGCGGAACGCUUCUUUCAAAACCUGUGCAAGGAGACGGAUGCUCAGCUGCUCCCUGUGAUUUAGCACUACUAACCUCUUCCUCUCCCUUCCCAAAGGGGUCCUGUGGAAGAAAAAGCUGAGAAGUGCUGGAGGAGGGAUUCCUGAUGGGUGAUUUCAGCUGAGCGAGGAGGGCCUCUGGGAAAGGAAAGGUGGCGGAGCAGCUGGGAUGGCCGCAGGAGACAGGCAACCGGCACAAUCAACCUUGAUGAAAUUCUUCCUCUUGUGUCUGUGAGCCCCCAGUAUUCAUUGAACAGAAGGAUGAGAAGAGGUAACGAUGAAGGAUUGCUAUGGCUGCGUGUGCACUUUGGCAUUGUGCUCUCGGGUGUCCUGAUGUUCUGCCACCCAUGGCAGGCUAUAUGCGCUCUAAUUGGACUUGCUAAUGCAGAUGUUGGGAGGAGACACAGGAACCAGGAGGGAUCUUUUUGCGUGAGCUAAAAGGGAAGAAAUCCUCCCUCCUGGUGCUGCGUGAACACGUCUGCUUUUUGCAGCCUGUCCUGAAAAUGCAAAUUUGUAAGUGCUCCUUGCUGGCCUAGUGGAUACAGAGACAUAAAAAGAAUGUAAAUCACCAAGUAGUACUUUGACAGCUGACACCCAUGUCUUUCCCGAGGGCCCUAAUGGUCACUCUUCGGCAGCUCUUUGCUGAUUCAUGAAGACUGCUAAGAGAAAGCGUGUGUGACUUAUCUUUUAUAGAGUGUAAUAAAAAGAGGGAAGUGCCCCACGUGGCUGAAAGUGCAGCUCUGUGGUCUGUCUCAGAGAUGCUCCAUUAGCUGGCUGCUGGCAGUGAUGAUGCAAAAAUGGGAGAUCCCUGGUUGAGCCAUUAGCAUGAGCAGACUGAAAAACUGUACUGUCACAGUGAGCCUGUGCUUUUCCUUUGCUUGUAUGAAAACUUGGUAGAAGGGAAGGAUGAUUCUGUUCCCUUGGAUGUUGGCAUAGGCUGCACAAAAGCAACAUUCUGCUUUUGGUUAGAUUCCCCCAUAUUCUGUUAGAUGCAGGCUCACUUAAGCCAAAGCCUUUGGACCACUAUUCUCUGGCUAUAUUUUUGGCCAGGUUCUCUGAUGCUCGUGACUGACCAGACUGUUAAUUCUGGCCUCUCACCUCUUUGUUUCAAAACAGUGACUGCUGACAUCUCUGUCAGCACUGCCUCCAGCAUUAGGAAAGGGUCUUUCCUUUGCCACAGACAACAAUAAUCUAGAGAAAGGUCCUUCCUUGCAGAAAGAUGGAUUAAGUUCUUAUUUUGAAAUGCAGUGUAAAUGGUCCUGAUGUACUGAAAUGUAACAGCUAAUAUAAGCAGACGAGUCAAUUUACAGCUUUCAUACUACAUUUUAAGAAAUAAAAGAAGCGGACAAGACAGCACAAUAAAUCUGCCCGCUGUCCCAGUCUGGUUGAUGUUAAUUGAAUGUAGUUUUAGCAGAUAACUGGAUGAUGCGGCUUCCUAAAAAUAGGAAAUGCACUUACUUUGUCAGGAACAUGAAUUUGUCCAAGGAAGCAGAGGACAGUCUUGAACAAUAUGUUCUUUAGGAUGAAAGUCUUUUGACCAAUGAAGCAGCGUAUAUGUUUGGUUACUAUCCUGUGUGCACAACAUGCAGCUCACAUUAGAACAACCCUGACAAUACCAGAAACACAAUUACAUCAUUCAGCACUCAAGAGAGACCAACCGAAAAAACAAAUAUCAUUUAGGGACAAAUUAUUCUAGGAAAACAGGAACUCACCGCCAGGUGUAUACGAUUAAGGCUUCUUUGGUUUUAAAGAGGCAAGUUUUAGUAGAAAACAAAACGUUAACUAGGAGUUUAGUAAAUAUGUCUGGAGACAUUGGAAUUUUGGCAGAGCAUAACUCCGAGAAUAGUGUGAAUGUUUCUUUUCUGUUGAUGUGUCUUCACAUAAAACUGGGCAAAACAAGUAGGUUGCAAGUAAAAGCAACAGAAAACACACAUGGAGAUAUUGAAAUAGGAUAGCAUUUCAUUUCAAAUUCAGGCGUAAAUGUAUGCAUAUACACACCUAUAUACAUAUAUAUGUGUAUGCAACUGUGUAUAUAAACCAUAUAUAGAUGGCAUGUGUGGAAGUGCAUGUUUACUUGUAUACAUAUUUCUGAGUAUAUAUGUAAAUAAAUAUUUACACACAGGCAUAAGUGAAUAAAGGACAUUUAAAUCAUA